rnacentral:rRNA from 1 species
ACUUCGGUCACGAGUGGCGCACGGGUGAGUAGCGCGUGGGAACCUGCCCUUGGGUUCGGGAUAACCGCGGGAAACUGCGGCUAAUACCGGAUAUUCCCUCCAGAUGAGAGUUUGGGGGGGAAAGAUUUAUCGCCGAAGGAGGGGCCCGCGUCCGAUUAGGUAGUUGGUGAGGUAACGGCUCACCAAGCCUGUGAUCGGUAGCUGGUCUGAGAGGAUGAUCAGCCACACUGGGACUGAGACACGGCCCAGACUCCUACGGGAGGCUGCAGUGGGGAAUAUUGGACAAUGGGGGCAACCCUGAUCCAGCAAUGCCGCGUGAGUGAUGAAGGCCUUCGGG